GAUGAACGCUGGCGGCGUGCCUAAUACAUGCAAGUCGAGCGAAUGGAUUAAGAGCUUGCUCUUAUGAAGUUAGCGGCGGACGGGUGAGUAACACGUGGGUAACCUGCCCAUAAGACUGGGAUAACUCUGGGAAACCGGGGCUAAUACCGGAUAACAUUUUGAACCGCAUGGUUCGAAAUUGAAAGGCGGCUUCGGCUGUCACUUAGGGAUGGACCCGCGUCGCAUUAGCUAGUUGGUGAGGUAACGGCUCACUAAGGCAACGAUGCGUAGCCGACCUGAGAGGGUGAUCGGCCACACUGGGACUGAGACACGGCCCAGACUCCUACGGGAGGCAGCAGUAGGGAAUCCUCCGCAAUGGACGAAAGUCUGACGGAGCAACGCCGCGUGAGUGAUGAAGGCUUUCGGGUCGUAAAACUCUGUUGUUAGGGAAGAACAAGUGCUAGUUGAAUAAGCUGGCACCUUGACGGUACCUAACCAGAAAGCCACGGCUAACUACGUGCCAGCCGCCGCGGUAA
rnacentral:rRNA from 1 species